rnacentral:misc_RNA from 1 species
GCGGGACGAGAGGGGAGACAGUAACCAUCCCUCGCCAUUUUCCGUCAACCUCAAUCAAGUUAGCUUCUGUCAGUCGCUGUGUUUGUGUGUUGUGAUAUGAAAAAUUAUUUGUACCGAUGAAUCUCAAUGGGAAAUCGUGCUAAUUACAUCGCCAAAAGAUGGCUCGGUUAUUGUUUUUGUGGUUUUAAUGCGACGUUCUACUAGUGAUGAUGGUCGAGUGAUUGAUAAAGUGAAGUGUUUUGUGUCGUAUGCUGGGCUGCCGCAGCAACAUUGAGCUCCUUUCUUUGGAUAAAUCGUCCCCAAGACGACGUCGGAUAAAAGGACUGGAAGGUGACACACCAUGUCGGCAAAAAACAUUCCGGGAGACAAGGUAUGGAAAUGGAGCGGAUAUAAAUUCGAGCUCCAACGGUAUGGCCCUCGUAAACUUUAUGAAUGCUAAUGACAUUUAAAAGGAAAUCAUGAAGCCAUUAAUCGUCGGACCAGCGUUAUAAGGAAACAUUUGGUACAAAGUGCUAAUAGAUAGUUGCGACAGCACGAUUUAACUUUUUGAUGAAUGUUCAUUCAUAAAAAUGCUUAGUAUUCCUAAAGGUAUUUCCAAGAUUUAGCGGCUAUUUAUAAAGUUGUUGGGUUGUAUUUAUUAACAUAUACAUAUUAUAUAGUAUUACAUAUUCUCAUUAUGAUGUGUUAGAAAGUGUUAAAGGAUCCAGCCGAAUAAGGAAGGUGAAAUAGUCACCGUGGCCAAUUUGUAUAAAAAAGUAUUCGUUCGAAUAAUAUUACAUGUAUUGUAGAAGUGUAUAUAUAUACUAUA